rnacentral:rRNA from 1 species
UACCAGCACCCCGAGUGGUCGGGACGUUUAUUGGGCCUAAAGCAUCCGUAGCCGGUUCUACGAGUCUUCCGUUAAAUCCAACUGCUUAACAGGUGGGCUGCGGAAGAUACUAUAGAGCUAGGAGGCGGGAGAGGCAAGCGGUACUCGAUGGGUAGGGGUAAAAUCCGUUGAUCCAUUGAAGACCACCAGUGGCGAAGGCGGCUUGCCAGAACGCGCUCGACGGUGAGGGAUGAAGCUGGGGGAGCAA